UGAUUGAACGAAUGACUUUUGGUCUUGCGUUCCGUUGAGACAUUUGGUAAACAUUUAAUAUUUUAUAUCAUUAUGAAAUUAAAAAAUACAGACUAAUUUUGUAUGUUAUUUUUAUUAAUUGAUAAUAUUUUUAGUUAAUCACUUUGUAAAGUCUUACAAAUGUUUAAAACAAAAGGAAAAUGCAACGACGGAUUUUUCUUUUGCAACUGAAGUAAUGAAACGCAAAAAAAAAAGAAAAAUGACGUUAUGUUAUAUCAGCUGACUUGGCUGACAUACUUGAAUUCGCGCCGAAUGCAACAGUUUUAUCUUCUCAGAAUUUAUACAAUAACAACAAUAACGAAAGAAAUAUCACCGAUUUACUACCUACUAGAUCUAGAGAGUCGGAGGCUAGACAUGGAGGAGCGACUUGUUUCAGCAGUUAACAAGCUGGCUGGCUACAGCUGCUGAAGCUAAUAGCAAGGCCGCGGAUAUGCAAACAGAGUUGCUUCGGCUGCUGCUGGAGGAAGUUAGGUGAAGACCAAUAUAAGGUUAAAGAAUAGCAGCAUGACGAUUCUCAAGAACGAAGAUACUAGAGAAACUAAGUUAAAAUACUUAAGUAAAAACAUAUUAUGUAUUCAAUAAACUUGUAUGUAAAUAUUUAAGCUAAAGUAUAAGUACUCCAUUUAUGUUAUUUAAGUGAAGUUGUAUUUAAUUAAAAUAUGUACUUAAGUUUGGUCAUGUUAUUUAAGUGAGUUUGUCUAGGGGUAUCAUUAAAGUACAUUAAAGACAAAGCAACUAGAUAUCAUUUUUCCAAGAACUAUUUGAAACAAAAAUAAUAUAGCAUCACGCUUCUAUUCCCGAAGGGGUAGGCAGAGGUGUAUAGUAUAUGUAUACAUGUCCGUAUACACAACAGGACCCUUCGUCUGAUUCGAUCGACAACCAGAGUUUCACUUUCGUAAUAUUUAGUACCUUCCGAGUAGUGUAAGAAAAAUAAUAGUACCUUUACAGUUAAACAAAAAACUUGAAUUAAUUUCCAGCAGGACCCUCCGUGGUUUGAAGGUCUUCAGACCAUUGGUGUAUAUCCCUGUAUAGCGGUGCAUUAGUACCUUCAGAUUAUCUUCGUUUUCUUUUAAAACAAAUAUUAGUUUAUAAGAAAUAAAUCUACAAAAUUUUUAUACUGCCAGCAGGACCCUUUUUUGUUUUGGUGCUUUCAGUCCAGACAUUCAUAUUUCCUAGCAGCAGUAUAUUAGUACUUUUCAAAAAAAUAUCGCUUAAUUAAAAAAAAAUGUAUUAAAAAGUAAUAAGACUGAUUCUUUAUCAGAGAAAAUAUUCUAACACUUUUAUUUAUGUGAUGCAACCAAUGAUCUACUAUGAUCUUUAUUAACCCACGCCGAACAACGUUUGAUUGAUAAUUUCUAUUGGUAAUUGUAAUUUUGAUUGGUAAUUGUAAUUUUGAUUGAUAAUUCCUAAUGUAAAUUUUUGUAAAUAUAAUUUAUUUUUUGUUAUAAUUUUCAUUGUGUUUUCCUUUUUGACGAUAUUAAACUACGUACCUACCUAAUAUAACAUGAAAACUGAUUUUUAUUUCAUUGGUUGCAUCACAUAAAUAAAAGUGUUAGAAUAUUUUCUCUGAUAAAGAAUCAGUCUUAUUACUUUUUAAUACAUUUUUUUUUAAUUAAGCGAUAUUUUUUUGAAAAGUACUAAUAUACUGCUGCUAGGAAAUAUGAAUGUCUGGACUGAAAGCACCAAAACAAAAAAGGGUCCUGCUGGCAGUAUAAAAAUUUUGUAGAUUUAUUUCUUAUAAACUAAUAUUUGUUUUAAAAGAAAACGAAGAUAAUCUGAAGGUACUAAUGCACCGCUAUACAGGGAUAUACACCAAUGGUCUGAAGACCUUCAAACCACGGAGGGUCCUGCUGGAAAUUAAUUCAAGUUUUUUGUUUAACUGUAAAGGUACUAUUAUUUUUCUUACACUACUCGGAAGGUACUAAAUAUUACGAAAGUGAAACUCUGGUUGUCGAUCGAAUCAGACGAAGGGUCCUGUUGUGUAUACGGACAUUAUGUAUACACCCACUCCUUGCCAACUACUAUCUAAUAAAAAGAUUUGUAUAGGUGUAUUGAUGAAGAUGUUGGAUGCAAUUAACUUAUAUUUCCAUAUUAUAGUAAGAAUUGGGAACAAUAUUAUAUUUGUAGUAUGUUCUAAUUGAUUACAUUUCUUUGAUCCACCCGCAGGGCUUUUUUGAUUAUACUAUUACACAUUACAAAUAGUCUAGUCCCCAUAAGGCCCCGCAAGCUUGUAUUUAUACAAAAUAAAUGGAUUUAUUUAUUACAAGUUAAAGAUAGAUGGAUAAACUACUUUAUUAAGCACAAUGGACACAAGAUUAGAAAAAUGUAUCUACUUGAGAGAUAGGUUGGUUAAUGAGAGGGGUGCAAUGAAACAAAUUAUGUAAUAACACAAAAUAAAUAAAUAUGCAUAAUGAAAAUAGUUUAUUUGAUGCCAAUAAAGAAAGGUUUGUUUA